GAUGAAGAACGCAGUGAAAUGCGAUAAGUAAUGUGAAUUGCAGAAUUCAGUGAAUCAUCGAAUCUUUGAACGCACAUUGCGCCCGCCAGUAUUCUGGCGGGCAUGCCUGUUCGAGCGUCAUUUCAACCAUCAAGCCCCAGGCUUGUGUUGGGGACCUGCGGCUGCCGCAGGCCCUGAAAACCAGUGGCGGGCUCGCUGUCACACCGGGCGUAGUAGAUUUUAUCUCGCUCAGGGCGUGCUGCGGGUUCCGGCCGUUAAAAAGCCUUUUUUACCCAAGGUUGACCUCGGAUCAGGUAGGAAGACCCGCUGAACUUAAGCAUAUCAAUAAGCGGAGGA
rnacentral:misc_RNA from 1 species